CCGCGGCGCGCGGACUCGGGUUUCCAUUCAUCGUGGGCAGCUUGGAGCCGGGGUCCUGGGCCUGAGCUGCGGCAGUUCGCUACUCGAGGCCGCGCUUGGUAGAGAGCUGAUUCUGUCAGCAGCGGGGCUUCUCCAUGUCUGACAGCUUUCCCUUGCUUACCCAAGCAAGUUGCACCGGACUUGGCCGGUUGUAUACAGCUAAAUGCUCCCGUCUUCCCAGUGUUACGUUUUCGCUUGCAGCUUAACCAUAGCAACUCCGGGGCUCUCGUCUCCCUCUCAAUAAAGAGUUGUGACUGUGCCUUGCACGAGGCCCGAGGACACGUCACCCUUCAACUUCCUCGAGUCCAGGCUCCCAGUCAUUGAGGCAAAAGAGAGAAGCAGAAGUUUGAAGACUCUAGCUGUCUGAACUUGGGGUACAAACACAUCUCUGUCACGCCUAAGUCAGUGGUGUCAAGAUUUGAAAUUUAUACUGGAAAUAUUUGUUGAACACUCACAUGAAAUUGAAGAGUCACUAUCAGAUUUGUAACUAGAUCACGCUGGCCAAUAAGAAGGAAGAGAAUUAAGGAUCGUUUAAGGAUCAUAUUCAUUAGGGAAGGGAGCAUAUUCAUUCUUGCAGGAGGAAAGACAGUUCCAACCAAGGGCAGUGGUGACUGAAUAGGGACAGAGAACUUGUUUAUGAGGCAAAAUAGGAAGUACUUAGCUAUUGGAUAUAGAGGGAGAACAAAAGGAAAAGGAAAAAAAAUGUCUAAGGUUCUGAUUAAGGGGACUCGGCAGAUUUUGAUGCCCCCCCCCAGACAGUUAAUGGAGGAAGAAUAAGACUGGAGAAGAGAAUAGUUUUUGGCCUUAAGUGAUAUAUGGAAAUGAAUGUCUGGAAGUUGGACAUUCUUGGAGGUUGAAUGUGAACCUCUAUAAGCCACUCCAUCUUGUAACAGCCCAACUUAAACUCUUUCAAAAACAGCACUUUCACUAAAACAAAAAGACAGUAAUUGGGGGACGUUUUCCUGCAGUUUACCUUCUAAGACUGCUUCUUUGGUUUACUGGUUACUUCCGUGGAACAACUUGGAAUCUGUGGUUUUAGUGAGCGAGUAAGAUAAAACUGUUCAGAACACAACAGUGGAAACUAUUAAAACCAGAGAGUAGAGGAA